UACGGGGGGCAAGCGUUGUUCGGAAUUACUGGGCGUAAAGGGCGCGUAGGCGGCCUAUUAAGUCGGACGUGAAAUCCCUCGGCUCAACCGGGGAACUGCGUCCGAUACUGGCAGGCUUGAAUCCGGGAGAGGGAUGUGGAAUUCCAGGUGUAGCGGUGAAAUGCGUAGAUAUCCGGAGGAACACCGGUGGCGAAGGCGGCUCCUGGACCGACACUGACGCUGAGGCGCGAAAGCUAGGGGAGCAAACGGG
rnacentral:rRNA from 1 species